UACGUAGGGUGCGAGCGUUGUCCGGAUUUAUUGGGCGUAAAGAGCUCGUAGGCGGUUUGUCGCGUCUGCUGUGAAAAUCCGGGGCUCAACCCCGGACUUGCAGUGGGUACGGGCAGACUAGAGUGUGGUAGGGGAGACUGGAACUCCUGGUGUAGCGGUGGAAUGCGCAGAUAUCAGGAAGAACACCGAUGGCGAAGGCAGUUCUCUGGGCAGAAACUGACGCUGAGGAGCGAAAGCGUGGGGAGCGAACAGG
rnacentral:rRNA from 1 species